rnacentral:rRNA from 1 species
UACGAAGGGGGCUAGCGUUGUUCGGAUUUACUGGGCGUAAAGCGCACGUAGGCGGAUUGUUAAGUCGGGGGUGAAAUCCUGGAGCUCAACUUCAGAAUUGCCUUCGAUACUGGCUUUCUAGAGGCUGGAAGAGGUUAGUGGAAUUCCCAGUGUAGAGGUGAAAUUCGUAGAUAUUGGGAAGAACACCAGUGGCGAAGGCGGCGAUCUGGGAAGAUACUGACGCUGAGGUGCGAAAGCGUGGGGAGCAAACAGG